ACGGUUGUGACGAAAAUUGGUUAGACGUGAUAUGUUUAGGUUAUAUUGAUUAAAUUCGUAAGGGUUCGAGUCCCUUCUACCGUA
rnacentral:tRNA from 1 species